rnacentral:rRNA from 1 species
CGAAAGCCUGACGGAGCAAUACCGCGUGAGGGAGGAAGGCUCUUGGGUUGUAAACCUCUUUUCUCAGGGAAGAAUGAUGACGGUACCUGAGGAAUCAGCAUCGGCUAACUCCGUGCCAGCAGCCGCGGUAAUACGGAGGAUGCAAGCGUUAUCCGGAAUGAUUGGGCGUAAAGCGUCCGCAGGUGGCAGUGUAAGUCUGCUGUCAAAGAGUCUGGCUCAACCAGAUAAAGGCAGUGGAAACUACACAGCUAGAGUGCGGUAGGGGCAGAGGGAAUUCCUGGUGUAGCGGUGAAGUGCGUAGAGAUCAGGAAGAACACCGGUGGCGAAAGCGCUCUGCUAGGCCGUAACUGACACUGAGGGACGAAAGCUAGGGGAGCGAAUGGGAUUAGAUACCCCAGUAGUCCUAGCCGUAAACGAUGGAUACUAGGUGUUGCUUGUAUCGACCCGAGCAGUACCGUAGCUAACGCGUUAAGUAUCCCGCCUGGGGAGUACGCAGGCAACUGUGAAACUCAAAGGAAUUGACGAGGGCCCGCACAAGCGGUGGAGUAUGUGGUUUAAUUCGAUGCAACGCGAAGAACCUUACCAGGGCUUGACAUGUCGCGAAUCUCAGGGAAACUUGGGAGUGCCUUCGGGAGCGCGAACACAGGUGGUGCAUGGCUGUCGUCAGCUCGUGUCGUGAGAUGUUGGGUUAAGUCCCGCAACGAGCGCAACCCUCGUUUUUAGUUGCCAUCAUUAAGUUGGGCACUCUAGAGAGACUGCCGGUGACAAACCGGAGGAAGGUGGGGAUGACGUCAAGUCAGCAUGCCCCUUACGUCCUGGGCUACACACGUACUACAAUGCUCCGGACAGAGGGCAGCGAGCAUGCAAAUGCAAGCAAAUCCCGAAAACCGGAGCUCAGUUCAGAUCGCAGGCUGCAGCUCGCCUGCGUGAAGUUGGAAUCGCUAGUAAUUGCAGGUCAGCAUACUGCGGUGAAUUCGUUCCCGGGCCUUGUACACACCGCCCGUCACACCAUGGAAGCUGGUAGUGCCCGAAGUCAUUACCCCAACCUGAGGGAGGGGGAUGCCUAAGGCAGGA